rnacentral:rRNA from 1 species
AUAGCGUAUAUUAAAGUUGUUGCAGUUAAAAAGCCCGUAGUUGAACUUCAGGCCUGGCUGGGCGGUCCGCCUCACGGUGUGUACUGUCUGGCCGGGUCUUACCUCUUGGUGAGCCGGCAUGCCCUUUACUGGGUGUGUCGGGGAACCAGGACAUUUACCUUGAGAAAAUUAGAGUGUUCAAAGCAGGCAUUUGCUCGAAUACAUUAGCAUGGAAUAAUAGAAUAGGACGUGCGGUUCUAUUUUGUUGGUUUCUAGAGUCACCGUAAUGAUUAAUAGGGAUAGUUGGGGGCAUUUGUAUUGCGUUGCUAGAGGUGAAAUUCUUGGAUUUACGCAAGACAAACUACUG